rnacentral:lncRNA from 1 species
GCCAAAAAUAAUUCUAACCCCUCACUGUAAAACCUGUAUACUUUUCCCAGAAAAUAAUAUAAUAACAUAAUACUUUUCAUAAAUCUCGAAUCAUCAAUUUUUCUUUAAAACCCGAAAGUAUGCCAUGUUUUAAUUUCGAAAACAAAAUAAAUGAUGCAUCAAUGUAACAGGUGAAAUAGUGAAUUAACCGGAGACCCUGCAGUUGGUCCUGUAUGGUUAAUUCUAUAGCUCAACAUCCAAUCCAACCGGAGUCACCUCGGUGACCUGUACGGCACUACACUGCAGAUAAGUCGGAACUACCUGAAGUAGUCUGUACGACAUGAAUGGUGUAAUGAUACGCUCUAGUGCUUCUCAUCAAUCAUCUGUGCACAUAAUCUAAGGUCACCCACUAGUCGGAAUCACAUCUAGUAAUCUAUACGACUAGCAUGUCGGAACCCUCACUUGGUCUGUACGACAUCCACCUACUUGGAUCCAAGACGAACGUGCGGUGUUGUGAAUAAUAUAAGCACUAACACCAUGAUUGCAGGUUAUGAGCUAUCCACAAUAUACACAUCAACAAUGCACAUGAAUAAUAUAAAACUCACCUGAUACUUACCUGUGCGUCCACAGCACCAAUUCACAUAUAUAUAUGCAUCAUAUAUCAAUUCAUGCUUUUCAUAUACUUCUAUGCAUGGCAUUUCAAAUCAUACUUUUCAUAUAAUUCUAUCCAUGGCAUUUUAAAUCAUGCUUUCAUUUAAAUUCAAUUUCUGGGAAGACUCAAUAGUAUAUAUGUAUACGGAAAACAAAACUGCCCACUCACAGAUAAGUAGCCGGUUCGUAACCCCCUCGCCUAUUUUGGUUACGUUCUUCGUCCGUAAAAUUUUCACCUAUACAAAAAUAAUUAUAAAACAUCAUUUAAACGCACAUACACAAACAUUCAUCAAUAACUUUCUUAUACGUUGCUCAAUUUGGGUAUGUGAAUAUACCACGGUGAUCUACACGACGUCACGGACGUCGACAUAUUUUUUAGAAAUAUUUUUUGAACCCUACACGCGCCCCCCACGCGCCGUGGGUGGCACUGACCUACGCGCCCCCACGCGCGUCUUCUUCCUCAGCUCGCCGGACUGGUUUCGCCGGUUUCUGGGCAGUUUUUCAAAUUGCCAUAACUUCUUCAUUUCUUCACCAUUUUCAACGUUCUUUAUAUCAAAAUGAAGAUAUUGAAGAGACGAACAAAUCUAUACCUGUCUCGACCCUUAACUCGCCGGGAAUUCACCGGAAAAAGCCUCGAAAGCCAUCGGACUCGCCGGAAACUGGGUAAGAUUCAAAUAAGUAUAACUUCUUUAAUACUCAACGAAAUUGGGUGAAACAAAAACAAAAGUUGUAGUUAUCGAAUAGAUGAAGAGAAUGGUACCUCGCACGACGUCUAACUCUCCGUGGUUUGGCCGGAAAACGCCUCGAAAGUUCCGACCAAACAUUGAACUUUCCGAUCUCUGUGUUUUUACUUCCAAAAACUUCCAACGAAGCAUUCCGAGCUUCCUAAGAACCUCCUUAAGCUCCCUAUGAGCUUAAAAACCCCUAAAAAUCAACCAAUACAAAGUUGAUGAAUAGUGUCAAACUCGGAGGUAAGUUGUUCGACGUGAAAACGUUGAAGUUCUUACCUGAAAUGGGUAUGGAUGAAUUUGUAUCGACGAGAUGAAGACGAUGGUGGUCUUUGUUUCUUCGAUCUGUGAAGAUUUGAAGAUCCUUGUUGUUUUGCCGUGAGUGUAGAAAGAGAGAGAGAGUGUGAGUGUUUGAGGGAAUCACGGGAAGGAAUAAUGAAUAAUGAGUGUGUCUGAGUGUAUAGUCCAUAAGUCAUUUUCAAACAAACACACAGACAAAACGUCCACUCUUAAAAACUAGGAUAAUUAAACAAACUUCACACUUAUAAAAACGUUAAUACGGGACGGGCUGUUACAACCUACCCUCCUUAUAGAAAUUUCGUCCCCGAAAUUUACACAACCAAAAUACAACACUAAUAAUCAUAAAACAAUCUCGAAUACAUCUCUCUCAUCUGAUCAUCUGUUUCCCAAGUAGCCUCCUCCACUGAGUGGUUCCUCCUCAAAACCUUCACUAUCCGAACGGUCUUGUUCCUAAGAACCUUAUCCUUCCAAUCGAUGAUAGUCAUUGGAACCUCGUCACUUAAAUUAAACAUUGUCCUCAAUGUUUCAAACAUAAACUCACACAAAACAAGCAAACAAACAAACUACGAAUAAACAUGACAAGUAUGGUAAAGUAAAAAUCAGACAGAGUAGAGUUUAAGAACGUAAAUCUGGUUAUGGAGAUAGAUGAUCUUGUUGACUUUCCACAGCUUUGACCUCGAACUGGAUUGGAAUUCUGAGCAGAGAAUAGGAGAGUUCCUUGGUUUCAAUUCAGACUCCUUCUGCUGGGUUAAUUUGAUUAUGCAGUCUGCAUUCUUCUCUGCUUGUUUCUUCUGCACGGCAGACAGGCACGAGGUAGAGGUGAUGGUCUGUUUCUUUUCAUUUGCUUUCUUUCUCCAUGUCCCUAGCUGAGGAUGAAUCAGCACGUUGUCUCCACAUGCUUCGAGGUAUCAUUUUCACUUCCCUUAUCUGUUCCCCAGGCAGAUGUGGUAGACGAAGAGGAAGCAUAAGAUGUUGAAGAUGAGUACUCGAGAGCAAGGCUAGGUAAGCAAUCAGGAAGGGGUUCUAGGCAGUCGGUUCCCGAUCGAAAGAUUGAUACCAAGUGCUGGCUGAUUGCUCUCUUUCUCCCUAUCUUGCAGGCAGCAUGAAGGAUAAAGAGAAGAAAAAUGAGAAGAGAUGAUAUGGGAUACUUUUUCUUUUGAAGAAGUAACUUUCCACAGGCUUAUUCUUGAACUGAGCUGGAGGGUUUUCUGGUUUCCUCCAGAGUAUAAGGCCGACUGAAGAAUUUGAGGGUCAAAACAAGUCCAUCAAAUCUAGAGUACGUUCGACCCUGCUGAUAUGGGAUACUUUUGCUUUUGACAGAGUAAUGGAUGUAUCGGCACGUGUGCUGUUACGCUUGCCUUGCAGGUAAGAACCAGGUCAAAGGAAAAGACAGGGAAAAAAAGCAUGAUAUGGGAUACUCUUGCUUUUAACCCUGUUGAUAUGAAAUACUCUUACUUUUGAUGGGUUGUUUGCAGAGGUAUCCCAAGGAAUGAUGAACACUGAGUGACUCGAGAGAAUUUGAUGCGAAUGCAUUCUCGAAGAUGAAGAAGGUUUGAGUGAGGCUGUCUUGCUGUGAAGGUUGACAUUUAUAGGCAUUUCUUCAUAACUGGAAGAGGCACUGUUCUUUUACUCAUGUCGGUACCCGUUGGAAAAUUGAACAGGAAAAGUCACGUACAUUCUACUUCACAAGAAAUCUUCGACAGAUUGCCCGUAAUUUCCGCAAGGCUGAGUGUGCAUGUGAUAGAUGUUGACACGUCGAGAUAAAGCAUAUGCCUCUUCGAUAUCUGGAAUCAAACUGCCCGUGAUUUUCGCAAAGCUGAGUGUGCAUGUGACAGAUGCUGACACGUCUGGAAAAGCAGAUGCCUCUCCGAUUUCUGAGCUUGCAACUUCGAGUUCUGAGCUUCCCAGCUUUUGAGAAAGCAAGCGCCUCUUUAAUUUCUGAGAUUAGCCUUCGUGGUCUUCGAGCAGCCCAGCUUUUGAGAAAGCAAACCUCUUCGAUUUCUGAGAUCGACCCUCGUGGUUUCUGAGCAGCCCAACUUUUGAGAAAGCAAACGCCUCUUCGAUUUUUUUUAUUAUUAUUAUUAUUAUUAUUAUUAUUAUUUUUAAAAAAAAAUUGGCCUCUUUGAUCUCUGAAAUCCCGUCGAGCUGAUUUAAAUAGAGGCACGCAGUUCAUUUCAAAACACACUUGAAUUUCUGCCUAUAGAAACUCUCUUCGUGCACUUCUAAAUUCUUGAUUUGUCCGACCUCUUCUCUUUUCAACACUUUUGAAAAUGUCUGGCCCAUCCGACCGUCGUUUUGACUUGAACUUUGUUGAAGAGGUAGCCCCGCCUUCUCCAGACAACAUAUGGCGCCCAUCCUUUGUCUCCCCUACUGGUCCUCUUACCGUUGGGGAUUCCGUGAUGAAGAAUGAUAUGACCGCUGCGGUGGUGGCCAGGAACCUUCUCACUCCCAAAGAUAACAGACUACUUUCCAAACGGUCUGAUGAGUUAGCUGUUAAGGAUUCUCUGGCUCUCAGUGUUCAGUGUGCAAGUUCUGUGUCUAAUAUGGCCCAACGCCUAUUUGCUCGAACCCGCCAGGUUGAAUCAUUGGCGGCUGAAGUGAUGAGUCUCAAACAGGAGAUUAGAGGGCUCAAGCAGGAGAAUAAACAGUUGCACCGGCUCGCACAUAGCUAUGCUACAAACAUAAAGAGGAAAAUUGACCAGAUACAAGAAUCUGAUGGUCAGAUUUUACUUGAUCAUCAGAGGUUUGUGGGUUUGUUCCAACAACAUUUGCCUUCAUCUUCUGGGGCUGUACCGCAUACUGAAGCUCGAAAUGAUCAACCUCCAAUACCUCCUCCUACUGGGGCUCCGCCGACUGCUGAGGCUCCGCCGACUACUGAGGCUCCGCCGACUACUGAGACUUCUCCUAAGUAGCCUUUGUGAAGGCUCUCUCUCUUGUAUUUUUGUGUUUAAUGUUCAUUUUAUUUUUCUGCUUAAUGUUCCCUUUUUAAUGAAUUUUAAUAUAAAAAAAAAAAUUACCUUGUUUACUUGCUUAACGAAUCCACGAAUAAGUUAUUAAUAUUACGGUAUGCAGCCCGCAAUACUGAUAAAUCAUCGUUGUCUCGAUAAGUAAGCAACAAUUCCCGAGGGUACAAUAUUAUCAUCUUGCUCUUCAAUAGAAAUACCUAUAUAUAUGCCUCGAUCGUGCUCCAACAUUACUCUCUUUGGCAACAUCGUCAAUAAUAAGAAAUUUCUACAUCAAGAUCAAUUAAAACUCUAGCAAAGUAACCAGGAAUGUUUAACGUGCCCAUGAUCAAGCCCGAAAGAUUCUGAGUAUCUUGUAGCUCUAUGUCCCAUUUGUCCACGUGUAAAGCAUACUCUGUUUUCCCACCUACACUCUCCAAAGUGCAUGCUAUUGUUCUUACAGCACAAAGGUACAUUUCCUCUACUAAAGUCACCUUGCCUCUGAGAUCUGGGAUUACCAAUACAUCUAUCACUUCGCCUCUGAUCAAUGGCAUUAAAACCUUCGUCAAAAGAACUAAAAUUAGCUUCACUUCUUUUUAAAGCUCUGAAUCUUUCAAGGUUCUCGAGAUGACUGACCUUUAUCCUUAUCAUCCUUCCUCUGUCGGAUUAUCAACAACAUCCGGAUGGUAAUAAGGCAAGUCCGUAAACUUUCUAUAAUACUUAUUCGCUGUCAUCUUUCCUUGUCUCAAAUUGUAAACUCUUGCUUAUUAUCAUCCAUAUAUGCCGAAGGAAUAGACAAUUCUUUAAACAACUUUCAAUCGGCUGUUUCCUCCAGUGACAUCAUUUUUCCAUAAAGUGAUUCAGUUUCAACUUAUAAACAAUCUCAAAGGUAGUCAUUUGGGAAGGACGGAUAACAGACUGAAUCACAUUAAUAGUAGUUUCACAUAACUAAGUUAAAUCGGGGAAACUAAGCUCAUCAUUUCAUAAGGUGAUUCAAAUUCGACUCAUAACCCGUCUUAAAAUGUCCCUUUUUAUAAUAGGACUGAAUCACCAUAAUAAUAGUUUCUCCUAAAUCGCUAAAUCAGGGAGACUAAAUUCCUCUAACUACGUGGUUUGCUACGAGGCGGUGUAGUUCUGACAGAAUUCACUAGAAACUUCUCAAGAUGUCCAAGAUUGCAACCAUGCUCUGAUACCAACUGACACACCCCGUCCCGAAAGAGGGCAUGCUGGCCGUCACAUGAGAGUGACGUAACCAUUUACACAGUUCGGAAGCUUUUAAAAAUACAAUUAUUAAAAUGGAAACCCUCGAGGGUGAGUCCUACUUUUGUGAAUUCUGUCAGAAUACCGUUGGAUUCCUCGUGGCCACCAAAACUCUGCUAUCAAGAACCUGGAGGGGCAAAAAACAAAAUUGAGUGGGUCAGUAAAACCAAGCUUUUCAAAAAACAUUUCGCCAAAAAUAAUUCUAACCCCUCACUGUAAAACCUGUAUACUUUUCCCAGAAAAUAAUAUAAUAACAUAAUACUUUUCAUAAAUCUCGAAUCAUCAAUUUUUCUUUAAAACCCGAAAGUAUGCCAUGUUUUAAUUUCGAAAACAAAAUAAAUGAUGCAUCAAUGUAACAGGUGAAAUAGUGAAUUAACCGGAAACCCUGCAGUUGGUCCUGUAUGGUUAAUUCUAUAGCUCAACAUCCAAUCCAACCGGAGUCACCUCGGUGACCUGUACGGCACUACACUGCAGAUAAGUCGGAACUACCUGAAGUAGUCUGUACGACAUGAAUGGUGUAAUGAUACGCUCUAGUGCUUCUCAUCAAUCAUCUGUGCACAUAAUCUAAGGUCACCCACUAGUCGGAAUCACAUCUAGUAAUCUAUACGACUAGCAUGUCGGAACCCUCACUUGGUCUGUACGACAUCCACCUACUUGGAUCCAAGACGAACGUGCGGUGUGGUGAAUAAUAUAAGCACUAAUACCAUGAUUGCAGGUUAUGAGCUAUCCACAAUAUACACAUCAACAAUGCACAUGAAUAAUAUAAAACUCACCUGAUACUUACCUGUGCGUCCACAGCACCAAUUCACAUAUAUAUAUGCAUCAUAUAUCAAUUCAUGCUUUUCAUAUACUUCUAUGCAUGGCAUUUCAAAUCAUA